UAUUUACACACAGACAUUUACGCACAGACAUUUACACACAGACACACAGACAUUUACGCACAGACAUUUAAA